rnacentral:rRNA from 1 species
CCGGCAACCGGCGCACGGGUGAGUAACACGUAUGCAACCUGCCCGUCUCAGGGGGAUAAUCGUCGGAAACGGCGUCUAAUACCCCGUAUGAAGCUGGACGGCAUCGUCUGGUUUUGAAAGAAUAUCGGAGACGGAUGGGCAUGCGGCGCAUUAGCUAGUUGGCGGGGUAACGGCCCACCAAGGCGACGAUGCGUAGGGGUUCUGAGAGGAAGGUCCCCCACACUGGUACUGAGACACGGUCCAAACUCCUACGGAAGGCAGCAG